AACGAUAAACACUCAACCAAACCCACCUUAAAACACACCAAAGACCCAUUAAAGUACACUAAAACAAGCUAGAAAUGUGGUUUAAGAGGUUUACAGGGUUUAUUUCAGUGCCCCAGAGCAGGAGCAUCAGGGCCAGCCCCAACAGAUGGCAGGCAUGUCUGUUUUCCCCUCACAGUGAAAUCACAGUCUGGGGCUACAAUGCCAGCAGGUGAGGCCACAGGUGUGCACUGUGGCCUUAAAUUAACCCGAAAAAACAGGUUAUAGGCCUUGAGGAGCCCCCAAAAUGAGCCUAAUCAUGGACAAUAGACUGGAGAGUACGGCAACGGAGGCAGAAGUGAAGAAGCUGCAGGCAUUAGUGAAGGAGCUGGAGCUGCAGAACGAGGAGCUGAGGACAGAACGUCAGCAGCUCAUGAAGGAGGGAGGAUCUAGCACCCCACACAGCCUCCCCUCAGCCCCUGCCACCCCUAAGAAGCAGCCGAGUGAGAAUUUAGAUGCCAUGGCGCCCCUGGGUCUUGAGGAGGAGAGUUUGAGUGAUGAGGAGACAUGGCUCUUCGACUCCCCCAGCACGAAGUCCCACACGACGGACUGGCUCAGGAAGGACAUCGAUGACCCCUCGCUCCAGCAGUCCAAGAGGUCGCUGAUCAACAAGCUCGACCAGAUUGCAAUGUCGCCACAUCAGUCACCCCGCCACUCCUUCAGCCCAUGUUCCUCCUCUGGCGUGCUGUCCCCGGAGUCCCCGCCUUCCUCCAGGGGUGAAAUAGAUACGCGGACCUUUGUCAGAUCCAAGAAGAAAAGGUCCCUGGCGUUUGGGGAGGCUGUUAAUGAUGAAAACAGAAACUCCCUGCUCAAGAGAGAUGGCAGCUCUCGGGAGUACCUGGCGCGCUCGAGUGGUUCCUUGGGGUCGGAGGAGGACGACAGACUCAGCUCGGCCUCGGAGGGAAGCUUCUCGUACCAACUGACGGAUGUGGCGGAUGUCAACGCACUCGCCAGGCUGCAGGAGGAGAGUUUAAAGCUUCCAGACCCCAGGAGAACCUCUCGCCUCCCAGGUACGUGGCUCGUCACUCACCUCGGAGGUAUCCGCGGGGGGCCCAACACCACCACCAUGAACCACCCCUACUCCUCGGCUGGCUCGGGGGGCUCCAUUACCAGCUCCCAGGAGGACCUCAUAGCCAAUCCGAACCCUACAGGCAGCCCGCGUCGCCCCCCCAGAGGUCUGCAGGCCCCCACACGCUACUCUGCACACACCAACGCGUCCAGGGAAGGCUCUGACUUGUCGACGCCUCCGGACAGCCCCUACAACUCCCAGCACAACCUAGAGUAUUGUAAUGGCCGUGGUGGUGGCGGCAACAUGCGUCACAGCGGCGGGGGUCUGCACCGGGGCCUGGGCGGCAGUGACCCCCGGCUGCUGGACCACCACCACCUGCCCAUCCACCAGCAGCAGCACCAGCAGCAGAGUGUCAGCACGCCGGGCAGCAGCCGCGGGGCAUCACCGGCACGCUCACACAACUCACCGUCAGCCUCACAAACAGACCUCCGAUACCCUGCCAGGACUUCCAAACUUCAGGCGCCGCAGAUGCGGAGUCGCCUGAGUGCCCCGUCCCCAGUGCGUGUGCCAGCCAGCGGGGCCUCGGGUCUGCCCCAGCCCACCGACAUACCCCGACCCAAGUCCAGUGGCAUCCCCAGGCCAGGCUCGCGACUCCAGGCCCCGAGAGCAAGGUGAGGACGGGAAAAUAUAAGUGACGCGAUUAUGUAUUAGACAAUGAUACAGGAGUCUAUGUUUAGAGCAAGUUGAGGACUGGAAAAUAUAAGUGACACAAUUAUAUAUGAUGCAAUACCAUGAUGCAAGAGUUUAUAUUUAGAGCAAGUUGAGGACUGGAAAUAUAAGUAACACGAUUAUAUAUGAUGCAAUGCCAUGAUGCAAGAGUUUAUGUUUAGAGCAAGUUGAGGACUGGAAAUAUAAGUAACACGAUUAUAUAUGAUGCAAUGCCAUGAUACAAGAGUUUAUAUUUAGAGCAAGUUGAGGACUGGAAAUAUAAGUGACAUGAUUAUUUGAUGCAAGAGUUUAUAUUUAGAGCGAGGUGAGGACGGGAAAAUAAAACAUGACACAGUUGUAUGUUAGAUUUGAUUAUUUUAUGCUAUUUUAUUUAUUUACAACAAAGGAGACAGCUCAAGGGCACAAAAAAAAAGGAAACAAUAAUAAAAAAAAGCCCGCUACUCGCUGCUCCUAAAAAGAAUCCAAAUACAUGUUAAAAGAUCAUACUUACAAUGUCAUCAUAAUUAAUCCUUCCUCUCCAACACAUUCACACAUGCACACGCACACACACACACACAUUCUAUACAGUGAUAUUUUUUUUAUAUACAGCAAGGGAGGCAGCUUGACCCGGUAGCAGCGACGGGGCAAAUUUGUGGCUUUACCAUAUAGCAGCGAUGGGCCAAAUUUGUGCCAUGAUAUAAACCCCCCAAAAUGCGUUGAUAUAUAUUAUGAAAUGGUUUGUGUGAGUGAUGAUUUUUUCUCAUUUUUCUCGCGUAGAGGAAGACCAUUAAGAAACAUGACCCCCGCUGCUACUGGGUUAACCCGUAAACUGCGCCAGACAUCUCAAGAUGCUAUGAGUUAGACUGCGCCAGACAUCUUAAGAUGACACAUGUUCCAAGGUCUGGUCUGGUCGCCCCGCGGUUCCAGGCCACCCCUCAGGAAGACUGGCGGGACGGGUGCUUCUGAGUGCUGCUGGGGGGUGCCUUCUGCCCUCCCCAGCCCGGCAACGGCGCACCUGCCACCCACACCUGCCCUGGGGACGGUGCCUGGUCCUAACUCGGUGACAGGCCAGGCGUCGCGGUGAGGCAUCAGGAAGGAGUGAGUAACCGCUUGUGUCAAAGAGUAAGAGUUGAGUGUGUUACGGUUUAAGGUGUACGAGUGUAACUGUCUGGAAUGUGUUACGGUUUGAGGCGUUUGGGUGUAACAAUCUAGAGAGUGUUACGGUGUUAGGCGUUCGAGUGUAAUGGUAUAGAAUGUGUUACGGUUUGAGGUGUUUGGGUGUCACAAUCUAGAGAGUGUUACAGUGUUAGGCAUUCGAGUGUAAUGGUAUAGAAUGUGUUACGGUUUGAGGCGUUCGGAUAUAACAAUCUAGAAUGCAUUACGGUGUUAGGCGUUCAAGUGUAAUGGUCUAGAAUGUGUUACGGAUUAGAUCUCAGAGUGUGAUAGUGUGUUUGAGAGUCGAAAGCCUGUUACAGUUUGGACAUCCGAGUGUAACCAUUCUAAAGAGUAACAGUCUAGAGUGUUACUUAUUAAAAAUCCGACUGUAAGAGUAUGUUGAAAGUAACAGUUUAGAAUAUGUUACAGUUGAAACAUCUGACCGUAAGAGUAUACAUGAGAGAAACAGUCUAGAAUGUGUGUUACAGUUUAGAUCUCUUGAGUGUAACUGUGUGUCGGAAAGUAACAGUCUGUGCACUAUAAAUUAACCGGUGGAACUUAGGCCCCCGAGUGUAACAGUGUGUCGGGGAGUAACAUUCCCAGUCACCAUAAAGGAACGGAUCUUGGA